AUUCAAAAAACCCGCCUUUGUGUGUUCUCCCGUCAUGCAUCGCGGCCUCGAAAAGCCUGGAACGAUUAGUGGAAUAAUGCAAUACAGAAAAUAAAUAAAAAUCACAGGAGUGAUAUUAUUUCAAAAGGACGACAUAUUCAGGCUGAGGGGAGCAGAGGAGCCUCGGAGCUUGGCGCCACUUUCAAAUCCUCCACUGACACAGAAUGACAGUCCGCCUUCUAACAACUUUUUAAAAACUACUUUUUUUUUUACUCUCAAGGAAUAUUCAACACGCUAUUUACGGAGCAUUUACCCACACCCAUGGAAGUGCCCCCCCCCUUUCCCGGCUCACCCUCGCUGUCUUCCUUGCCGUCUGGCAGGCUUACAAGCUGAGCACUGGCUGCCUGCAUAGGGCUGUGGCCCAGGCAAGAGCCCCCCCCUCGUCUCUCACAAAUUCAUUUUUAUCUGCCCUCCACCCAGCCCCCACAGACUUUCACUCGCACACCUGCCCCGCACACACCCUCGGGGGUGCCCUCAAUUUUUUCCCAGAUUUUUCUGUGCUCCGUGUGCUCAUGUAGAAAGUGAUGGCCGGGGGAAAAAGGCUGCAGCUUCAUAGUUUUUUAAGGCCUGCCGAGCCUCCUUGCUGGCUCAGUGUGCGCAGCCGGGGCUCCAGCGAGGAGGUGCCGAGGAGCAGCACACAGCCAGGAGGUCAACAUCCUUUUUUUUUUUUUUCUUCUUUCACCCCACACCCUACCCCACCCUACCCCACUCCACCCUCCCUUUUCUCCUUCUUGCUUUGAUCAGAGUGUUUGCAUUGACCUUGUGGAACAUCUUUGUGGCAUCAAUGCAAACAUUGUGUUUUUGUUGUUGUAUUGUCAGGUUGCGUUAAUGUCGUACAUCAUAGUUCAUUCAUUGUUGUAGAAUGUCAGCAGCAGACGGUAAGUGUGUGUGUUUUUUUCCUCUGUUAAAAUGGCCUCUGAAUGAGAGCAGGAGGCCUGUUUCUUCUUUUUCUUCUUCUAUGUUUCUUUCUUUCUGACUUUCCCUCCACCGCAAUGUUACUUGCACUCUUUUUUCCCCCCCUUUACCCCUCCUCCAUUUUUUUUUUCUUUGUAACCCCCCCUCCCCAGUCACCUUCAGUCAUCUGUGCCAACUGAUCCAGCGGGACUUCUUUCUAUUUUACAGUUUUCUUUUUUUUUUAAUGUCAUUAAUUUGUAUAUGUGAAUAUAUUAUUGCCUUGUACUUUUCAUUUUCUAACAUUGAACUUUUUGAUGUGUUUAUUAGGGACCUGCCUUGCGUGGGGGAAAAAUAGACAAGUGUGGUGCACCCAGGCCUUGUCUUCAUUUUUAAAGUUAGAAAAAAAAACACAUUCAUUUAUUUUCUGAUUUCAUGCAAAAUGUCAUUUUUAAUUGAGAUUGAAUUUUCCCAUUUAUCUGUCGGUAAUGAAAUACAGGGUUGUGAAACCUUUUGCCACACUUUGAAAAAUGAACAUUUUUGUUUAUUUAUUUAUUUAUUUUUGAAACAGGUUAAAACCAACCCAUAUAGAUAUGCUAAAAAUUUCUAUACAUACAAAUAUAAAGCAGCCUGCAUGUUAGUGUUACAGGUGACAAAGUGUAUUAUUAUUAUUAUUAUUUGUAUUAGAAGCAUUGACAUUUUGUCUUGUUCUCCUUCCAUUAUCACUUUGGACACCCCUGCUCCAAUAGCUGGUGAAAAGAAAAAGAUGACUUAAAGUUGAUGUGUGUGAAAUAGGAGUGUUGCUGCUUACUGCUUGAUUCCACACUUCAUGACAAGUCAGAGGAACAGCAGUGGUUAUGGUUCACGUCACAUUUGAAAGCCAAGUUUCAACAGAUAUCAUUAUAAUUAAUAAUAUUAAUAGUACUAGUCCAUCAUUUGGCCUACUGACUGCCCCCAACUGUUUUUAGAUGAUUUGACUUUUUUUUUUUUUUAAAAAGGGAAACAUAUAUACCGAUACCCAUACAAAUGUAUAUAUGGAUUCCAAAUAAGCACUGUACAUUUGUUUUAUGAUAUAUUUUAAAAUAUAUACACAUAUUUAGUAUGCUGUUUAAUUAAGUUAUUUCCUGGAACAUCAGUGUCUGUGUAUUUAUACUAAUACUACUACUACUACUACUACCACCACCAGGAAAAUAUUCUGCAACAUUUCUGGAAAAUUCUAUUAAAUUAAUAUGUCUUGUUAACAAGUAGAAAAAAUAUGGAGGUGAAAUGAAUACAAUGUUCUUCAUACACUGUGUGUCAUGACUUCCUGAAGUGUGUGUGUGUGUGUGUGUGUGUGUGUGUGUGGGGUGGGUACCCCUCCUGUCUUCCAGCCCUUUCUGCACAGUUCACUUUUUUUUUUUUUAAAUGUCAUCUAAAACUAUUUUGUUUUUUUAUGCCAUAUGUGUUAUGUGUGUACACCAGGAUUUUUCACAUGAAUUGACAACAAUUUCAUUUUAAAGAUGUGCACAUAUAGGAAAAAGUAUGGGAAUACCAAUCAAAUAAAAAAAAAUCUUUAAUUUAAUACAGUCCCAAUUAUAUGUAUAUGUAUUAAAAAAAAAGUCAAUUGUGUUGUAUGAAAUAAUGCCGGUGUCUUUGUGUAGCUGAAGUGAAGAACAAGAAGAGUGUGUGUUGUGUGCUGGAUGAUAUUGAUGAUGGUCACAAAGUGAUGUGGGG